rnacentral:lncRNA from 1 species
GAAGUGUCUGUGUGGCAAUGCAUGGCCACAGCUAGCCGAGGCUGGGCAGAGACAGAGGCAGAAGUAGAGAAGGAAACAAGGUCACUUUUCUGCUCUGAAGGACUUACUUUGGGACUGUUGAGAACUUCUAUUUUCCUUAUUUGGUCCAUGUAGCUGUUACUGGAUGAUUUUGUUUUCUUGAGCUGUAGGGGCUUGAGUCCAGAUACAAAUUACACCUGGUGGGAUCUUAAAGAGUUUGGCCUACUGUGAUAGCCUAUUUUUUAGUGCUGGUAAAGCCAGGCAUGAAAAGGCAUUGCAAAGAAAGACUCCAUCUCGUUUGUUUGUUUGUUUGUUUAGAAAGUCUAGUUUUUGGUAAAGACAGGAAAGAAUAAUAAUUUCUAGCAGCAUCACCAAUUUUCUUUCCUAAAAGUCCUGUGAAGGCAACCCAAAAUCUAACCAUCUGGGACAGAUCAGCUGCCCAGAGCUUAUCUAUGAGUUUUUUUUGUUUAUGUGUACCUGCCAAAGUUUGUAGGAGCAGAAUAUCUAUUUUCCACUUCAUCUAAAGAUCAGAUCCUUCACUGAGUUUGGGAAUUCAGCUGCAAGGAUUUUUUUUUUCUUUUUCCGUUUGGCUUUGUUGUUGCUGUUUUCUUGUAUCCCAGCACCAUCAUUACACAGAUGUGCAAUCAGGUCACCAAAAGCACAGUUAGAACCAGGAUGCCUCUGUGUGUAUAUCCGAAUAAACAAGCUGGGAUGCUGUUCCCCGGGUCAAUCAGUAUUUUGAAAAAAACCAGAUCAGUACACCGUAUGAACAGUAUUGAUCUUGCUAUAGCAAGUCAAAGGCUGCUUCCUGCUACUUGAAGAAUGUCCUGGUGUGGAAGAGCAAACACAGCAUUGCUAUGCAAAGAGCACCCAGUGAAGAGGACAGCAUUUGCAUGACAAUGAGCUCAUGGACUGGCUUUGCAUAUAUCCUGUCAGUGCUGCUUGCUCACUUUCUACAAAUUGCAGAGAUAUCGGUCAGCAGCUCUAUUUGCAGAAUCCUGGUGGCAGUCUCACACAAUCUCCUCUGGUGCCAGCAUGGGCAGAUGUGGAAAAAGGAGUCAUGUUAAAAGGGCCUUUGGAUCUGUGCAAAUGCAAGCGGUGAGAUGCAAAUAACGGGCAGGCUGUGGGGGGGGUUAAUUGUACUUUGCAUUAAAACUCCGUUGUGGGUUGUAACUCCAUAAGACACCCUAGUGCUCUAUAAA